UGAAAGGCUUCCCCGAGGCCGCGAAAGGGCCAUGGCCCUCGGCCAGGACCGCACUGCCGCCAGUGUGCAGCCACGCAGCUGCCGGAUGGACCAGGCAUCUUCGAUUUCAUGCAAACAGCCCAUAAAUCAACGUGAGAAACAGCCGAGCUCCAGUUUCGGGACUCAGCCAACACUUACUGACCAUGCUGCACUUUGGACCAGCCAGCCUUUGACCCAGGCAACUAUUUUAACUUGAAGCCAGCACUAAAGGUUUUCAGGCCCAUGCUGCAGUAUAAAUUGAGUUGAUGGACGAAGAGGCUGUUUGAACCCCUGAGCCAGUUGACCUUCAUGGUACAGAUGGAAAAAAUGAAGUCCAUAGAAGCCAAACUAACUUGCCACCGCUAUUUACUGCCUCCCAGGAUGGUUUCCUUUGAUAACCAAAUAAAGGAACUCUUCAGAACCCCUUUUCAUCUCUUCGUGGCCUCAUCAGAGCUCAUCGAGAAAUGGCUGGGAGUGACCAAGCUGUCCUUCAGGGACCCCUCCAAUGGAGUGUUCCAGGCUUCCCACCCUUCGAACAGAUGACCCUGCAUAUCCUGGCACUUGGGGAUGUGGGGUUUCCAAAAUCCAGAUGUGUGGAGAGCAGAGGGGCCUGCAGCCGUGACAGCAGCUCAGCCUCUCUUCCUGCUCCAGUGAACCCCUUCCCAAGGUGGCAGAAGGAGCUCGCCUCUCAGGCGGGAAACCCACUUGUCCCAGGUGGACAGGGUGCCACCAGCACUCCAUGGUGUGGCAGGGACAGAGCAGGGCUGGCACACUGCCCACUUCCAAUGGCAUUGAAGGUUCUUGGGCACUUGGGAAGGUUUCAGAAAGGCAGCUGAAGUGGAAGGAAGUCUGCACAGAUGCACCUGGGGAGCCCUGUGCUGGCAAAUUGCUGACUCCAGGCACUGGACCUGCAGCUGCUCGUCACCGAGGCAGACGGUCCCCGCCGUCACAUCUCAGACUGUGUGGACAGUCCCAGCCAGAUGGAAACUCAGACAUAAACUUCUAGGCUCUCAUUUUAUUUAUACCAUUUUUAACAUUCGGCUCUUUUAAAAAUUAUUAUAAAGUAGUGCAUGCCUAUUCUGAAAUACUUGGAAAAUACAGAAAACAAGAAGAAACUAUAACCCUGUAAAUUCACCCAAGAUGACUGCUGUUAUAUCUCCAUCUCAACUUUUUCCCUGUGGUGAUGUGUAUUUUUUUUAUCAUUGAGAUCAUCCACUAUAUGUCAUUUGUAUCUGCUUUAUUCACUUUAAAUUAAAUUAUAAGCAUUUCUAACAUAGUAAAUGUUCUUUAUAAACACUUCUAA